AGAGUUUGAUUAUGGCUCAGAAUGAACGCUGGCGGCGUGCUUAAUACAUGCAAGUCGAACGAGGUCAUUGAGCUUGCUUAAUGACCGAGUGGCGAACGGGUGAGUAAUACGUAAGCAACCUGCCCUGAAGCGGGGGAUAACAGCUGGAAACGGACGCUAAUACCCCAUAGCAGCUCAGAAGGCAUCUUCUUUUCUCUAAAGAUCCGCUUGGAUCACUUCAGGAUGGGCUUACGCUGCAUUAGUUAGUUGGUGAGGUAACGGCCCACCAAGACGAUGAUGCAUAGCCGGCCUGAGAGGGUGAACGGCCACAUUGGGACUGAGACACGGCCCAGACUCCUACGGGAGGCAGCAGUAAGGAAUUUUCGGCAAUGGACGAAAGUCUGACCGAGCAACGCCGCGUGAGCGAUGAAGGUCUUCGGAUCGUAAAGCUCUGUUGAAGGGGAAGAAAACAUCGAUCAGGAAAUGGUUCGAUACUGACGGUACCCCUCCAGAAAGUCACGGCUUACUACGUGCCAGCAGCCGCGGUAAUACGUAGGUGGCAAGCGUUAUCCGGAUUUAUUGGGCGUAAAGGGUGCGCAGGCGGUCUGUUAAGUUCAGGGUGAAAGCGUGGAGCUCAACUCCAUACAGCCCUGAAAACUGGCAGACUUGAGUACGGAAGAGGGAAGCGGAAUUCCAUGUGUAGCGGUAAAAUGCGUAGAUAUAUGGAGGAACACCGGUGGCGAAGGCGGCUUCCUGGUCCGUUACUGACGCUCAGGCACGAAAGCGUGGGGAGCAAAUAGGAUUAGAUACCCUAGUAGUCCACGCCCUAAACGAUGAGAACUAGGUGUCGGAAUUUUCGGUGCCGCAGCUAACGCAUUAAGUUCUCCGCCUGAGGAGUAUGCACGCAAGUGUGAAACUUAAAGGAAUUGACGGGGGCCCGCACAAGCGGUGGAGUAUGUGGUUUAAUUCGAUGCAACGCGAAGAACCUUACCAGGCCUUGACAUCCCCUGCAAUACUAUAGAGAUAUAGCGGAGGUUAUCAGGGUGACAGGUGGUGCAUGGUUGUCGUCAGCUCGUGUCGUGAGAUGUUGGGUUAAGUCCCGCAACGAGCGCAACCCUUGUCGCUAGUUACCAUCAUUCAGUUGGGGACUCUAGCAAGACUGCCGGUGAUAAACCGGAGGAAGGUGGGGAUGACGUCAAAUCAUCAUGCCCCUUAUGGCCUGGGCUACACACGUACUACAAUGGCGCACACAGCGAGAUGCAAAGUGGUGACACUGAGCGGAACUCUUAAAGUGCGUCUCAGUUCGGAUUGGAGUCUGCAACCCGACUCCAUGAAGCCGGAAUCGCUAGUAAUCGCGGAUCAGCAUGCCGCGGUGAAUACGUUCUCGGGCCUUGUACACACCGCCCGUCAAACCAUGAGAGUGAGUAAUACCCGAAGCCGGUGGCCUAACCCGUAAGGGAGGGAGCUGUCGAAGGCAGGACUCAUGAUUUAAUUAAGUCGUAACAAGGUAACC
rnacentral:rRNA from 1 species